GUCUGGGUAGCUCGGUGGUUAGCGCGUUGGGCAAGCAACUCGGGGUUCGCGAGAUCGAAUCUCCGCCUCUGAUG